rnacentral:rRNA from 1 species
UACGUAGGGGGCAAGCGUUGUCCGGAUUUAUUGGGCGUAAAGAGCGCGCAGGCGGUCGAUCAAGUCGAGUGUGAAAGCCCCCGGCUCAACUGGGGAGGGUCAUUCGAUACUGAUCGACUCGAAGGCAGGAGAGGGUAGUGGAAUUCCCGGUGCAGUGGUGAAAUGCGUAGAUAUCGGGAGGAACACCAGUGGCGAAGGCGACUACCUGGCCUGUUCUUGACGCUGAGGCGCGAAAGCUAGGGGAGCAAACGGG